rnacentral:rRNA from 1 species
UACGUAGGGUGCGAGCGUUGUCCGGAAUUAUUGGGCGUAAAGGGCUCGUAGGCGGUUUGUCGCGUCGGGAGUGAAAACCUCGGGCUUAACUCGGGGCUUGCUUUCGAUACGGGCAGACUAGAGGUAUGCAGGGGAGAACGGAAUUCCUGGUGUAGCGGUGAAAUGCGCAGAGUAUCAGGAAGAACACCGACGGCGAAGGCAGCUCGCUGGGACGGUACUGACGCUGAGGCGCGAAAGCGUGGGGAGCGAACAGG